UUUAAUACGGAAACAACUAAAGAAUUUUUUUAAUCAAAGUCGGAAAUGGAAGCCCAUUUUAUUAAACAAAAAUAACCAAAUCAGAGCUUACGUUGAGACAAGUCAGGCCCAAAAGUGGCUUGACAUGGAUCCAACAUCAACAAAUAUGCAACAACAACCAUUAGCAUAUUAGGAAACUACAGCUCCGCCUCUUUGCCUCUUUGUGUCUGUUUAGCUUCUCGAUACUGUCGAAGCUCCGAUUUUGGUGGCUGCUCUGUCCCGGCAACGUUUGGCUCCAUAUCAUCCCCCUUGCCAUUUAAAGUUGUGUCUCUAACCUUUAGCUCCCUUUCAUCCCAUCUUAGUUCAGUGGAUUAAGCUUCAAUGGAAGGGAGCCUAGUGAAAAAGGAGUGAAGUUGAAGAUACAAAGGAGAAAAAAGAGCUGAACAGGAAAAAGGCUGAAGGUGUGUUUCAGAAAUAACCCUCAAGCAUCGUGUAUGUGAUCUAAGGAUGGAGAACGCGACCAGUCUUAAUAGCGGAAGAAAUCGUAAUCACGAUGUUAUGGCUCGCAUAAGCGACAGGUCAGGAAAGUCACAGAUGUCGCGAUUGUGAUCACAUGCUUCGCGUAUGAGAAUGUCCAAUGCAGACAAAGAAGUUGCAUAAUCGACCUAUUGAGUCGCAUACGCGACUGUCACACCAGAGAUAGAAGUCCCUAUCAUAACCAAAAGAAUUACAAAACCGAACGUCAGGGGCAAUGAUGGAAUUUCAUGUGGCUUGAUCCCAAUGUGUAAAAGGCACAAGGCCUAACAUUUCUAGCAACCGAUUUUAUUUUCUUGGAGCUUAGAAUACAUUUUUGCACUAUUGAAUGAAGAACAUUCUUAGAGUGAUUCUUAAGUGAGGAAUUAGUAAUUACAUUUAAGAGUUAUUGAAACUAAAAGCUUGGUAGUACAUGUCCUUUAGUUUUCAUGGAGCAAUUUAAUAAAAUUUUGGUGUAUCUCUA